GAUGAAGAACGUAGCGAAAUGCGAUAAGUAAUGUGAAUUGCAGAAUUCAGUGAACCAUCGAGUCUUUGAACGCAAGUUGCGCCCGAAGCCAUUAGGCCGAGGGCACGCCUGCCUGGGCGUCACACGUCGUUGCCCCCCCAUCUACUCCUUCGGGAUUGCGGGGGGCGGAUGAUGGCCUCCCGUGCGCCUCGUCGCGCGGUUGGCCUAAAUGCCAAGUCCUCGGCGACGCACGCCACGACAAUCGGUGGUUGCGAAACCUCGGUUGCCUGUCGUGUGCGGUCGUCGCGCAUCGAGGGCUCGAAAAAAUUGCCGGGCUUCGGCUCGACUUUCAACGCGACCCCAGGUCAGGCGGGGUUACCCGCUGAAUUUAAGCAUAUCAAUAAGCGGAGGA
rnacentral:misc_RNA from 1 species